CCCCAAGCUGGUUCCGAACUGCCCACUCUGAAGAUAGCCCCGAAGGGACUUGUCAAUGCUCGAACAUUUGUUUUAGUAAUGUGGUAAUUAAUACCCCUGGGAGCUGUUUCUGUUCUGCCAUCUGCUAUAAAUCUAGGCAGAUCUGUACAAGUGCAACAAUGAGAUUUAGGUAAGGCUGAAAGCUUUUAAUCCACUUUCAAAACAAACAAAAAAACUGAAAGAUACUAGGGGCUAGUGGCAACCUUAGGUCUUUCUGAUCCUUAUCAGUCUUGGCAGAAAAACAUUUGUUUAGAAAAUGGACCUCUGGGACGCUCUGAAAUUACUUGCUGGGAAGAGAAGAAAAUAACUACCCAAAUCAUCCCCAGCCCUAGCCCCACCACCAGUCCUGCUACUGGAAGCAUUUCUGGCCCUAAUUAUUUCUAAAUUGAACAAUUUUCUUUUUUUUUUUUUUAAUUCCUAUCUCCAGUAAUGGGUAUAAGCAAGAUAGAACUAUUUUUAAUACCCUUCUAACUGCCUCUGUUAACCAGGGUAUCUCCCUAGGAGUCCUUUAUCUGGAGCCCGAAUCAAAUCCUCUCCAGCCCUCGGUUUGAAAAAAUAAAUAGGCUGGGUAGAGUGGCUCUCGUGUGUAAUCCAGCACUUUGGAAGGCCAACGAGGGGAGGAUCACCCGAGGUCAGGAGUUCAAGACCGGCCUGGUCAACAUGGUGAAAACCCGUCUCUACUAAAUAUACACAAAUUAGCGGGGCAUCAUGGUGGGCACCUGUAACCCCAGCUAUUUAAGAGGUUGAGGCAAGAGAAUUGCUUGAAUCCGGGAGGCAGAGGUUGCAGUGAGCCGAGAUCAUCCACCCUGGACAACAGAGCAAGACUGUCUCAAAAUAAAUAAAUACAUAAAUAUUUAAGCAUUUCCCUUUCUUUUCUUUCUUACUUUCUUGACUGGAUCUUGAUUUGUCACCCAGGUGGAGAGCAGUGGCUCAGUCAUGUUCACUGCAGCAUUGAACUCCUGGGUUCAAGCCAUCCUCCUGCCUCAGCCUGCAUCAGAGUAGCCAUCCUCCUGUCUCAACCUACAGGCUGUGGGCACCAAGCCCAGGAAUCUCAUUAAAUAACCAGGAAGGAUCA
rnacentral:lncRNA from 13 species